rnacentral:lncRNA from 1 species
GUUUUGGAGUGCAGGCGUGAAUAGUCCUUUCUGUCCUGCUUUGAGUACUGCUGUUGGGUGCCUUGGGGGGACCUUAAGGGAGCUCGGAAGUUGAGACGUGGUGAGUGCGAGAUCACUGCCCACAAAGGGGAGGAGCAGGCGGAUGAACAGCCAGAGCUGCAAUGGUGGAUCCUCCUCCAGGGCUGCAUGGGACGACAGAUAGAUGAGGCUCUAGGACGGGCACAAAUGCUACCCGAAUGCAAACCACUCCGGAGAUCUGUAAAAGGACUGGCCCCGGACAGGAAGCACACUUUAAACUAGAGGCGGGGUAAGACUCGUGGGCCAAUCAAGGCUUCCGAACAGAACUGCCAUUCUGGCAAUGAGGCGGGGUCUUCCGGUUGCCUGCUGGAAGUUUGUUUUUGCUCUGCAGGAUUGAAGGGUUCUCCCUAUGCUGCUUUGAGCGCUGCUAUUGGGUGCCUUGAGGGGACCUCAAGUAAGCUCCAUUUUUGAAACAUGAGUCAAAGCCCCGGUGAAGAUUCUGUGACGGUUCAUUGUAUAAUUUAUGAUGAUGAAGAUUGAGUUGCAUUUUGCGGAAAAGAGAUGUUGAGAUAUCUAAGGCAUUGAGAAAUCUGUCAUGCAGACAUGCACACAGGGAGAGGGAGUACCCAAACUGAUGAGAACUUACAGGAAUUGGACCAUCUAAGCCCUUAGAAAGUGAAGUCCACUGUGUCUCAAACAAAGGAUGGCAAGUGUUCAUGACAUCAAUACUACCCAAGGCUUCAGAGUCAUUGGAUUGCAGGUGUCUCUAUGGUUUCAAUUCAGCACUAUUCCAUCCAUCUUUUGGCAGAGUCAGAGCCCCGGUGAAGAUUCUGUGAGAGUUCAUUGUAUUGAAUUUAUGAUGAUGAAGAUUGAGUUGCAUUUUGCGGAAAAGAGAUGUUGAGAUACCUAAGGCAUUGAGAAAUCUGUCAUGCAGACAUGCACACAGGGAGAGGGAGUACCCAAAAUGAUGAGAAGUUACAGGAAUUGGACCAUCUAAGCCCUUAGAAAGUGAAGUCCACUGUGUCUCAAACAAAG